AAACAAACAAAAAACCUUGACUUAGUUUGCAACCGAGGAAGGAACUCCAGAGAGUCUAGAGAGUGUGGUUGCUAACAACAUUCAUCAGCCCUUCACAUGCAUUAUUACCUCCAGUCCUUAAACCAGUUCCCUAAGCAUGGUAUUAAAUAUCUACACAUCGCAGAAAGUUCAGUUUCAGAAAGAAGCAGCCGAAGUCACUCAGAAAACCCUGUGAGGAAUCAUUUUUCCAGAUGA
rnacentral:lncRNA from 13 species